rnacentral:rRNA from 1 species
AUUGAACGCUGGCGGCAUGCUUUACACAUGCAAGUCGAACGGUAACAGGGAGCUUGCUCCGCUGACGAGUGGCGAACGGGUGAGUAAUGCGUCGGAACGUGCCGAGUAGUGGGGGAUAACGCAUCGAAAGGUGUGCUAAUACCGCAUACGUACUGAGGUAGAAAGUGGGGGACCUUCGGGCCUCACGCGAUUCGAGCGGCCGACGUCUGAUUAGCUAGUUGGUGAGGUAAAGGCUCACCAAGGCGGCGAUGAGUAGCGGGUCUGAGAGGAUGAUCCGCCACACUGGGACUGAGACACGGCCCAGACUCCUACGGGAGGCAGCAGUGGGGAAUUUUGGACAAUGGGCGCAAGCCUGAUCCAGCCAUGCCGCAUGUCUGAAGAAGGCCUUCGGGUUGGAAAGGACUUUUGUCCGGGAGCAAAUGCCUGGUGUUAAUAGCAUCGGGAGCUGAGAGUACCGGAAGAAUAAGCACCGGCUAACUACGUGCCAGCAGCCGCCGUAACAC